GUGCUCACCUUCACACGACAUAUACUAAAAUUGGAACAAUACAGAGAUUAGCGUGUCCCCUGCACAAGGAUGACACCCAAAUUUAUGAAGCAUUUCAUAUUAAA